UACAGAGGCCCCAAGCGUUACUGAGAAUCACUGGGUUUAAAGGGUGCGUAGGUGGUCCGUUAAGUUCGUUGUGAAAGCCCUGGGCUCAACCCAGGAACUGCUUCGAAUACUGGCGGACUUGAGGCUAGUAUGGGUCACUGGAACUGACGGUGGAGCGGUGAAAUGCGUAGAUAUCGUCAGGAACGCCAAUGGUGAAGACAGGUGACUGGGCUAGAUCUGACACUGAGGCACGAAAGCGUGGGGAGCGAACGGG
rnacentral:rRNA from 1 species